rfam:Oryza rufipogon genomic scaffold, chr09
AAUAAGUAUAGUUUUACACUAUUCACAUUCAACGUUUGACCGUUCGUCUUAUUUAAAUUUUUUUNAUAAAAUUUUCAAAUAAAACGGACGGUCAAACGUUGGGCACGGAUAUAUACGGCUGCAUUUAUU